rfam:Sphingobacteriales bacterium 40-81 SCNpilot_expt_1000_bf_scaffold_325, whole genome shotgun sequence.
GGGGGUCGGUCCCUCAUAUACGCCUUGCGGGAGGAGUAUAUAAACCACUUCAUGGUACUGUAAUCAAAAGUUAUGGUAUUGAGCGAUGAAGAAAAGGCAUUAUAAAAAUGUCAGGU